GGUGCCCCCUGCAUGCAGUGGGAGCCGCUCCACCCUGGCCGUGUCCCCCGGCCUCCUGCUGUUCCUGUUUCCCUCCUUUGUGGCUCAGAAGGAGAGAGACUUUGAAGGCUGUGUAGAGGAGCCUGAGAUUUCAACUGACUGACUUGAGAUACAACCAGCCCUCGUGAAUGCAGUUCAGACUAAAAGCCCAAGGAAAGAGUGGGGGCUGCCAGGGCCCCCCCACCCGGCCAUCCAUCCACCAACAGCCCUGAGCUUCACACCAGGAGGGGCCAGGAAAGUCAAGUCUGGAAGAAAAGAUGCUCAGCUGAGUGUCGAAAUUCAGUGACAAAUGCAGGAGGUACUGAGGAUCCCAGAAGAAAGUGCAGUGGGCCCUGCUGGGCCUGGGAAAAGCUGGAUUUGAGCCUAGGCCAGAGCAGAAUGGAAAGAAGCUGCUAGCAGGACAGAGGAAAGCAAGAGGAGUAUUAUCUGGAAAAAUGUAACUCAAAAAUGAAGCAGAGAGACAAGCAUUCCACACCAAGUGUGUUCACGUGAAUUCCAAGUCAUUAGGACGGAGAAUGGGCUGUCACUGAAUCGAGGAACUGGAGAGAUUGUGAAAGUACCGAAUUUUAGAAGUGGAAAUUGCCUUGGCUUCUUGGGGCCCAACCUCCUCAACUUUUCAGCUAACGAAAUUCCAGCUUGGUGGGAAGUCUCGGACACUUGUUAAUCAGGAUGGGUGCUGUGGCCCCUCCCAUCUGCCCCUUUUGUCUACACUUCCUCCACUGCAGCCACGUGGGCUCCCAGACGCUCCUUGGACGCCCAGGCCUGCACCUGCCUCAGGUCCUUUGCACUGGUUGGCCUCCCUCUCUGGAGCCCCCUUCUCCCAGACUGCUAUGCGCCUCACUCCAUCACCUCCACCAAGUCUUCAGACCGAGUCUUCUCAGUGAGCCCCUCCCUGGCCACAGUUCUACCCCGGAAGUCUGCGUCUCCUCUCACCACACAGUCCUCUUCCAGAAUGCGGCACGCCUUCUGAUCUGUCGGACAGCUUAUUUUUCAUUACUUUUAAUGUUGUGUGUUGCCCUCUUCUAGAGUAGGCUGUAGGGUGAGGGUGUUGAGUUCGUGGAGGUUUCCAUAGCACCAAGAGUUGAGGGUACAAGACAGACACUCAAAAAGUACUUGUUGAAGGCUGGGUGUGAUGGCGUAUUCCUGUAACCCCAGCACUUGAGAAGCCGAGACGGGAAGAUUACUGAGAGUUUGAGGCCAGCAUGGACUUCACUGUGAGACAAUGUUUCAAACAGACAAGUAAUCGAACCGCCCCCAAAAUGAAACAAAACAAACACAAAUAUGUUGAACGAAUGCAAAAAGUAGGCAGAAAUUAGGAACCAGGAAACCUUUCCCCCGUCAGGAAAGAA